GACGAACGCUGGCGGCGUGCCUAAUACAUGCAAGUCGAACGCACAGUUUAUACCGUCUCUUGCUCCACCAUAGACUGUGAGUUGCGAACGGGUGAGUAACGCGUAGGUAACCUGCCUGGCAGCGGGGGAUAACUAUUAGAAACGAUAGCUAAUACCGCAUAAUAUUAAUUAUUGCAUGAUAAUUAAUUUAAAGGUUCAAUUUCACCCCUACCAGCUGGACCUGCGUUGUAUUAGCUAGUAGGUGAGGUAACGGCUCACCUAGGCGACGAUACAUAGCCGACCUGAGAGGGUGGACGGGCACACUGGGAAUUGGACACGGCCCAGACUUCUACGGGAGGCAGCAGUAGGGAAUUUUCGGAAAUGGAGGAAAGGCUGAACGAGCAAAGCCGGGGGGGUGAAGAAGGUUCUUGGAUCGGAAAGCUAUGUUGUAAGGGAAGAACGGGGGGGAGAGUGGAAAGUUCACACUGUGACGGUAUCUUACCAGAAAGGGACGGCUAACUACGUG
rnacentral:rRNA from 1 species